CACGUAGGGUGCGGGCGUUGUCCGGAAUUAUUGGGCGUAAAGAGCUCGUAGGCGGUGUGUCGCGUCGGCCGUGAAAACCUGCAGCUUAACUGUGGGCUUGCGGUCGAUACGGGCAUCACUGGAGUUCGGCAGGGGAGACUGGAAUUCCUGGUGUAGCGGUGAAAUGCGCAGAUAUCAGGAGGAACACCGGUGGCGAAGGCGGGUCUCUGGGCCGAUACUGACGCUGAGGAGCGAAAGCGUGGGGAGCGAACAGG
rnacentral:rRNA from 1 species